rnacentral:rRNA from 1 species
UACGUAGGGUGCAAGCGUUAAUCGGAAUUACUGGGCGUAAAGCGUGCGCAGGCGGUUGUGCAAGACCGAUGUGAAAUCCCCGGGCUUAACCUGGGAAUGGCAUUGGUGACUGCACGGCUAGAGUGUGUCAGAGGGGGGUAGAAUUCCACGUGUAGCAGUGAAAUGCGUAGAGAUGUGGAGGAAUACCGAUGGCGAAGGCAGCCCCCUGGGAUAACACUGAACGCCCCAUGCACGAAAGCGUGGGGAGCAAACAGGG